rnacentral:rRNA from 1 species
GAUGAACGCUGGCGGCGUGCCUAAUACAUGCAAGUCGAGCGAACGGACGAGAAGCUUGCUUCUCUGAUGUUAGCGGCGGACGGGUGAGUAACACGUGGAUAACCUACCUAUAAGACUGGGAUAACUUCGGGAAACCGGAGCUAAUACCGGAUAAUAUUUUGAACCGCAUGGUUCAAAAGUGAAAGACGGUCUUGCUGUCACUUAUAGAUGGAUCCGCGCUGCAUUAGCUAGUUGGUAAGGUAACGGCUUACCAAGGCAACGAUGCAUAGCCGACCUGAGGGGGUGAUCGGCCACACUGGAACUGAGACACGGUCCAGACUCCUACGGGAGGCAGCAGUAGGGAAUCUUCCGCAAUGGGCGAAAGCCUGACGGAGCAACGCCGCGUGAGUGAUGAAGGUCUUCGGAUCGUAAAACUCUGUUAUUGGGGAAGAACAUAUGUGUAAGUAACUGUGCACAUCUUGACGGUACCUAAUCAGAAAGCAACGGCUAACUACGUG